rnacentral:piRNA from 1 species
UAUACACAAUUGAUUUUCACA